GAAAUGCGAUAAGUAAUGUGAAUUGCAGAAUUCAGUGAAACAUCGAAUCUUUGAACGCACAUUGCGCCCGCCAGUAUUCUGGCGGGCAUGCCUGUUCGAGCGUCAUUUCAACCAUCAAGCCCCCGGCUUGUGUUGGGGACCUGCGGCUGCCCGCAGGCCCUGAAAAACAGUGGCGGGCUCGCUGUCACACCGAGCGUAGUAGCAUACAUUCUCGCUCAGGGCGUGCUGCGGGUUCCGGCCGUUAAACGACCUUCAUAACCCAAGGUUGACCUCGGAUCAGGUAGGAAGACCCGCUGAACUUAAGC
rnacentral:misc_RNA from 1 species